rnacentral:lncRNA from 10 species
ACUUAACUACCUUCUCCCUUCACUUAGCAAGUAUUUCUCAUUUCAGAUGCCAUUAAUUUUAUUACCACAAUUGUUAACAUAAGACCAUCUGGUAUAGCCCAAACAAGACACCAUUUUCAUUUUUAUAUACUAUGUAUUAAUUGCUAUGUAUUAAUUGUCGCUCCCAGUACUUUAAGCUAUAACAAUUGUGCUAAUUAACAUGUUUUCUUUGAUCAAGUGAGAGCGAAGACUCAGUUUCAUAUCAAUAUUUAUUCUGAUUCUUAGAAAUUACAAAAGGAUUUAUUCUAAUUUUAUGUAGAUUUGGAAAAUUUUUGUUUAGCAUAUUAUUCAGGAACCAAGAUAAUCCUUUGGCUAUAUAGAAAUAACAUGAGCAACACCAUCAGUUGGAUUUGUAGGAUAUAUUGUAUGAGCAUAUCAUACAUUUGCCAUAGAAACAGUCCUAGACACAAUAGCAUACUUCCCAUCUGCUACGCUAAUUAUUGUUUUGCCAAUAAGGGUAACAAUUUUCAGCUGACUAGCUAAUUUACAUCUGGGUACUGUGGCCUAGCCAAGUGGACAUGUAAAAUUAAUCAUCACAAUAUAUAUUAUAGUAUUUUUUCCCAUUUCUACUAUGUCUUAUCUAUAAGAAUAGGUGGCUUUGUGGAUUGAUUUCCAUUAUUUUCAGAAUAUACACCAUAUGCUACAUGAUCCAAAGGCCCACCUUAUAAAGGUACUUUGAGGUGUUAAUUUAACACAACAUAGUCUUUCUAUCAUGCUGUGUCAAUGCUCAGCCUAUCUAGACUCUACAUGCUUAUUCGGCAUGAAAUGCUGUCUCAUCUAUAGGGUGAUUUAUUUCAGUAGUAGCAGGAAUACUAAUAAUAUUUAUAAUCAGAGAAGUAUUUGCCUCAAAGCAAGAAGUAUGCCCUCUACGAUAUAAAAUAUUUCAAGAACCAACCUUUGUGAAAGCU